rnacentral:rRNA from 1 species
GCGGUAAUACGUAAAAGACUAGUGUUAUUCAUCUUUAAUAGGUUUAAAGGGUACUUAGACGGUAAAUAAAGCCCGAAUAGGGAACUAAUAUACUAGAGUUUGAUGUAAGGAAGCAUGAAAGUACUGUUGGUGUAGAGAUAAAAUUCUAUCAUACCAAAUAUGGCACAGGUUUAGGCGAAAGCAUCUUCUUAUGUAAUAACUGACGUUGAAGGACGAAGGCUUUGUGUCUCGAACAGGAUUAGAUACCCCAGUAGUCUAAGCAGACAAUGAUGAAUGUCAUAGAUUAGAUUUAAUUAAAUUUAUUCUAUAAAUGAAAGUGUAAGCAUUCCACCUCAAGAGUAAUUUGGCAACAUUGGAACUGAAAUCAUUAGACCGUUUCUGAAACCAGUAGUGAAGUAUGUUGUUUAAUUA